rnacentral:misc_RNA from 1 species
AACGCACAUUGCGCCCCCUGGCAUUCCGGGGGGCAUGCCUGUCCGAGCGUCAUUUCUGCCCUCAAGCACGGCUUGUGUGUUGGGUGUGGUCCCCCCGGGGACCUGCCCGAAAGGCAGCGGCGACGUCACGUCUGGUCCUCGAGCGUAUGGGGCUUUGUCACCCGCUCGGGAGGGGCCUGCGGGCGUUGGUCACCAACGAUUAUUUUCAAGGUUGACCUCGGAUCAGGUAGGAGUUACCCGCUGAACUUAA